rnacentral:rRNA from 1 species
GUGGGGAAUAUUGGACAAUGGGCGCAAGCCUGAUCCAGCCAUGCCGCGUGAGUGAUGAAGGCCCUAGGGUUGUAAAGCUCUUUCACCGGUGAAGAUAAUGACGGUAACCGGAGAAGAAGCCCCGGCUAACUUCGUGCCAGCAGCCGCGGUAAUACGAAGGGGGCUAGCGUUGUUCGGAAUUACUGGGCGUAAAGCGCACGUAGGCGGGUAUUUAAGUCAGGGGUGAAAUCCCGGAGCUCAACUCCGGAACUGCCUUUGAUACUGGGUACCUAGAGUAUGGAAGAGGUAAGUGGAAUUCCGAGUGUAGAGGUGAAAUUCGUAGAUAUUCGGAGGAACACCAGUGGCGAAGGCGGCUUACUGGUCCAUUACUGACGCUGAGGUGCGAAAGCGUGGGGAGCAAACAGGAUUAGAAACCCCGGUAGUCC